rnacentral:tRNA from 1 species
UAUCAAAAUUGAUUUAAUCAAGAAUAUAUUUGAAAUAUAUGAGAAAAAGAUUCUACUUAUUUAAAAU